GAAAGUGGGUGGCCUAUCGCUGGCGGUGAAUGCCGCCAGAGGAAAUAUCCGACUCUCAGCCGAGCGCCUAGCGCCACGGCAAGGUCGCCCAGCGCCCGAAGUUGGGGCGGGUCCCUCCGGGGGUCCGACAUCAAGUGCAACAGAGAAGAGUCCCGCCGCGGCCGGCCCUCGGGUGGUCGCUGGUAAGGGGUGAAACGGUGGGGUAAGAGCCCACCGGCGUCGGCAGAGAUGUCGGCGGCCAGGCAAACAUCGACCGGGAGCAACUGAGUAAUUCAGGCAGCGCCCCGGCGCCAGGGUAACACCUGAGACAGAUGAUAGGCGAGAAACAGAAUCGGAGUUACGACCGCUUUCUCUA
rnacentral:RNase_P_RNA from 1 species